rnacentral:snRNA from 1 species
AUAAAGGGUGCUCGCCACCUCAAUGGCGCGUCAGUUCGAUUCAGGACUGGCGGGGUAUGGCUAUCAAGACAUACCCAGUACAUAAUUUUUGUAAACGUGGGGUUGUUGGCUGCCUUUCUCGCACCGACGCCUCC